rnacentral:lncRNA from 1 species
UGCACAGCGCGCUCUGGGAUCCCUGACUGAGGGAUAGACCACAGGCUGCUUGUUGUUCGGGUUUCACAAGUUUGCCCUCUGGUUUUACUGUUAAAGAGAGGGGCUAGAUCUAUCAACAGCAGAGACUAACACUCAGCCCCAGAUACGGCACCAUUCCUCAAGGUGAUCCACCAGCAGGUUGGUGGCAGGUUGACUACAGUGGAGUACUUCCUCCUUGGGCAUUGUAACUGAGAACUAGCUUCGAAUACAGCUGCUGCUACAUCUUUCCAGGCUUAUGAGAUAAUCCUGUUUUUGGUAGCCAGGUAUUUAACAUCUGUCUUUCAACGGGAUGUAACUCUCAUCUACUUCUCCAGAACCAAGUCUACAUGAAGCCAUGUGCCUGCUGCCACGCUUCACACCUGGAUGAUAAUGGACUCACCUCUGGAAACAAGCCCCCAAAUUAUAUGCUUUCUUUUAUAAGAAUUGCUUUGGCUAUGGUGUUCUUCACAGCAAUAAAAUAGCGAUGAAGACAGUAGUUGAUACCAGGAAACCGAGUAUUGCUGUGACAGGCAUGACCAUGCUGUAUAUUGGCAGAAUGUGAACUUUGGACUAGAAAAGUGACUGAGUGGUUUAAGUCGGGAUUUUAUGGGCUAUACUAGUAGCAAGGACACUUGUAUUGGAAAAAUGUAGACAAGUGGGAGACCAGCACAGGAAGUUGCAGAGGGAGAAAUCAUACAAAGUGAAUACAAAGCAACCUAGUGACCAUUCUUGAUGUAUUUCAGCAAAGAGGUGGCUGCUUUUGCCCAUGUCCUGAAAAUCUGCCCGAGUUUUUGAUUAAUGAUGGCAGAGGAGAUGUCAAGACAGCUUAGAAUUGAUCAUAUCAUAUGGUUAUUAGUAAUCACUCUUAUUUAGGUCAGUAAUGGAAAAGAUAAAGCUAGACAAAAAGAAAUACCAAAUGUACAGAUUGAGGGGAAAAGAAAGCACUAGAGAGUGUAAUGGAGCUAAGUCCAGUGCUUCUAGAAGAUUAAAAUUUAAAGAAAAAUUUGACACUAAGUGGAAUCAAAAGAGCAGUAACCUCAGGUAAGAUCCCACUCAGUUAAGGUUCCAACUUGUAAAAGGGAAUUAAAGAAGUUUAAGCAGUGAAGGAAACUAUCAAGAAGGGAAAGCUGAUGCAAAUGUAAAUGAAUCAGAGGGCCAAGUUCAGGCCAGCAAGCAGCUGAAUUUGGCAGCUUUAGCCAAGUGGUUCUGGCCUUAGAGUCAAGGAAAUCAAGAGAGCAAGUCCUUACAAUAUACAAAGGAAUGGCUCUUCCCCCACUGGCUAAGAAAAGGUGCUGAGUCCAGGCAAGUGCUGUGGGUGUUGAGGACCCCCUGCAGGUGUCCAUGCAGUGAUCCAUGAAGAAAUGAGAAUGAAACCUUGGUUCAGAUAGACUUCGUCAACCUAGAUCAAACUUCGGGGAGUUUAAUGCUAGGCCAUCCAUUGUCAGCAUAUUAAAACAUAGUACAAUUUGGGAAAAUUACUAAAUAUUUUCCCUUUAAGUAAAUUAUUUUAUUCUUUUUUGGAAGAUUUACUUAGUUUUAUUUUAUUUGGAAAGAUGAAUAAAUAGUAGAAAAUGUAUCUAAUCCAUUUUGUAAGGAAUAUUGAAAUUAUUCAAAAUAAAAUAUCUGGUUGUGUGAUUUGUAGUUGAAGAGAUGGCUCCGAGGUUAAGAGCACUGACUGUUUUUUCAGAGGUCCUGAGUUCAAUCCCCAGCAACUACAUAUGACUCACAACCAUCUGCAAUGAGAUUGGAUACUCUCUUCUGGUAUGUCUGAAGACAGCAACAGUGUACUCAUAUACUUGAAUAAAUGAAUAAAAUCUAUUA